GUAGAUUUUUUCCAAUACAAACUGACAUUAUGUAUCUCAUAAAGAAAAACUGAGGGUUUUCCAUCCAGAAGAACAAUGUCGUUUUUCUUUUUUACCUAUUUCAAAGUCCGGACGGACAACCCAUAACUCUUUUCGUCUACAGAUUUCAGCCCUUUUCUUCUUCUCCUCAUCAUUCUCGUUAUAAUCUCGAUUACCAAUUUCAAUCAGGCUUCCGAGAUCUGGUGUAUCUAUACCGCAAUAUGCCGGUGAAGCUUGUUACCCUGUUCAACCAUUUUUGAGAAACGACAGUUGAUGAGGAUGUAUGUAGUUCAUAUUCUUAUAUCAAAGAUCAUGCAACGGUAUCGAGGAAGCACUAGAGUGUUAUAUAGAACUUGUUCCUCAAGUUCGCUUAGCUGGGACAACAUCUUUUGCUCCAAUAGCUGAAACGGCUAUAUAGAUAUUGUGGAGGGCAGUAGACGUCGAUAUCAUGUUCUGCUCAUUAUUGCAUAUGGCCGGGUUAUAAAAGGUUCCGAGACAGAAUUAGGUCAAUUAAGUCUACAGGAACAGGAAACCGUGGACGCUAGAAUUAAAGCAAGGUGCAGUGAAUAUCCAUUGUCAAUUAAUUUAGUUGGUGUGGUGACAGACACUGGUAAAUGAUGCGUAAUUUGAUAUUAAUAUUCCCCGUAGAACAUAUGAAAAUUUUCAGGAUUGUGGCCUGGCAAUGGACUGCUGGCGUGGAUUUAGCAUAGAAGAAUGGCUCAUUUGAAGUAUCAAGUCUGUCUAUUUUAGCGUGAUAUUAGUGUGAUAUUAAUCUAUUGUGCAACUUUUGUUUGUCUCUUCUUAUUUCUUACGUAAAAGUUGGAAUCACUAUAAUUUUGUAACGUACUCAUAUUUAUAAAAUUUGAUUUCUUUGU